GCAACAGCGGCGCCAGAGGGCGCGUGAAGUAGUGGGGGGCAUGGGUUGGUGGGAAUGACUGGGCGCAAAGGGUGUGUAGGGGGCACAGUAUGUUGGACGUGAAAUCCCCGGGCGCAACGCGGGGCGGUCGUUAAAAACUGCCGUGCUAGAGUGUGGGAGAGGGAAGUGGAAUUCCCGGUGUAGCGGUGAAAUGCGUAGAUAUCGGGAAGAACACCUGUGGCGAAGGCGGCUUCCUGGCCCGCAACUGACGCUGAGGCGCGAAAGCUAGGGGAGCAAACAGGAUUAGAUACCCGGGUAGUC
rnacentral:rRNA from 1 species